rnacentral:rRNA from 1 species
UACGGAGGGUGCAAGCGUUGUCCGGAUUUAUUGGGUUUAAAGGGUGCGUAGGCGGCUUAUUAAGUCAGGGGUGAAAGACUGCAGCUCAACUGUAGCAGUGCCUUUGAUACUGAUGAGCUUGAGUACAGAUGAGGCUGGCGGAAUGGGUGGUGUAGCGGUGAAAUGCAUAGAUACCAUCCAGAACACCGAUUGCAAAGGCAGCCGGCUAAACUGUAACUGACGCUGAGGCACGAAAGCGUGGGGAUCGAACAGG